UUAUCUUACCAACAUAUAUCUCAGCUUUCCUUAGCACUUGCUCUUUUAAUCAAAUUCAGUUUAUUCCUUACGGUUUGGAAUUGUGACAUGACAAAUCACAACUUACGAUCAAAUCCAAUUCGAAGAACAGUGAGCUUCAGAACGAGAGAAAUAUUCAUCAGAAAAAGAGGAGAUAGAUGCAUAUAAAGAGCAAAAGAAGUGGGAAAAUAGAGUGCUUACUGGUGAAGUAUUAAGAGCUUUCCUCAUUCUUAGUUUGAUGAUGAUUCGUUUUCUAGUCUCAUUUCUGUGCACAUUGAAGGGUGUAAAAAACUAUACAAGAUUUUCCCGAGUCACAUGGAAAGGAUGGUUUGAAAGUCUGGAAAGCUUGAAGGUUUUUGAAUGUUGGUCAGUGGAAGUGAUUUUUAAAAUCAAAGAUUCUCAGCAAAUAGAUGCAUCUGCUGGGAUAGACACAAAUUUGUGGUUGAUUCUUGUAGACAACCUCCCAAAACUGAAGCAAGUGUGGAGCACAGAUCCAAAAGGAAUUCUUAACUUCAAAAAUCUGCCUAGUAUAGUGGUUUCUUGUUGUCAUAAACCAAGGGAUGUCUUUCCAGCUUCUGUGGCCAAAGACGUUCAAAAGCUUGAAUGCAUGUCGGUACAGUUUUGCCAGUGAAUGGCAGAAAUUGUUGCCUGUGAAGAUGGAUCAGAAACAAAUCAUGAACCAUUAGUGUUUCCUGAAUUAGUAGUGAUCAUAUUAAAUUACCUAAACAUCAAGGGUUUCUAUGGGGGCAGGCAUAGUAUAGAGUGUCCAAAAUUGAAGGGUUGGUAGUGGACAGGUGUAAUAAGAAGCUGAAAAUAUUCCCCACAGAAACCAAUGAAACCACAUAUGAAGAAGAAAAACCAGUUUUCUCAGCUGAAAAGGCAGUCUCCAACUUGGAGCAUAUGGAUAUUGACUUGUCGGUUGGCUUCUCUGCAAAAUGCCAAAUCUAGAAAAGUUACACUUGUUUAACUCUGGACAUUUGCUUGAAGAGUGGUCAGUGCCAUGUCUAGGAACCCUAUUAGAGCUGAAGGAAUUGGAAUUGUGGGAUUCGGAGAUAAAGGAUCUAUGAUUUGAACGAUACCCAGUUCUACAGAGACUAGAGUAUUUGCAUUUAUCACUGCUACAAAUUGAUCAAUUUAGCUCCUCCUUCGGUAUCAUUAACUUACUUGACAUAUUUGGAAGUACAGGUUUGUACUGAAUUGAAGAAUUUAAUGGCAUCCUCAACAGCCAAAAGUCUGAUUCAACUUAAGACCACGAAGGUAAUCCGAUGUGAUGAAGUAAAGGAAAUAGUAACCAAUGAGGGAAAUGAAGACGACGACGACCAAGUGAUCAUCGAAAUUGUAUUUAGCAAAUUAAUUACUAUAGAAGUACUUGUGGAGCUAUCAAACCUCACAAGUUUUUGCAGUUACAAAAACUGUGAAUUCAGAUUCCCAUCAUAAGAAUAUUGAUUCUGAGAAACUGCCCCAAGAUGGAAAGGAGAGUUGCACAAGAGCUCCACAAGUACUUCUAUAGUAAUCAAUUUGCUAAAUACAAGUUCGAUGAUCACUUGGUCGUCGUCAUCUUCAUUUCCCUCAUUGGUUACUAUUUCCUUUACUUCAUCACAUCGGAUUACCUUCAUGGUCUUAAGUUGAAUCAGACUUUUGGCUGUUGAGGAUGCCAUUAAAUUCCUCAAUUCAGUACAAACCUGUACUUCCAAAUAUGUCAAGUAAGUUAAUGAUACCGAAGGAGGAGCUAAAUUGAUCAAUUUGUAGCAGUGAUAAGCACAAAUACUCUAGUCUCUGUAGAACUGGGUAUCGUUCAAAUCCUAGAUCCUUUAUCUUUGAAUCCCACAAUUCCAAUUCCUUCAGCUCUAAUACGGUUCCUAGACAUGGCACUGACCACUCUUCAAGCUGAUAUGGCAUGGCUCACUGAUCAUCCCUGACUUGUGCUUCAGUAACUUGCACUGGCUGUGAUAGGAAGGAGAAGAUGCAGCAGGCUCGAAGGAGAGGCCCAAAAGGAAGAUCAUUUCCCCAAGAUACCUCAAGGAUUUUGUCUAACAGAAAUGGUUGGUAUCUGCUGAGCUGCCUCGAUAUGAUUGGAGAGGAUGCUUGGUUAUUGUCUGCCACCAUCAUUCUGUUACACCAUGUCUGCUGCAAUUCUGUUAUUGCAUUUCUGUUAUGAUAGAAUAGUAGCAUUUCAGCAUCUUAUAGCCUGUUUAUAAAUAGCUAUGAACAAUGUAAUAAGGCAGACCAGUUAAUACAAACCUUUAUUCCUCCUUCUUAUGUUCUGGAGGUGCCUAAGCCUCGAAUGCUAGGUUUCCAUUCCCAUUUCCUUCUGUGCUCUUAACAGGCUGACUGUGGACGGAUGCCAAUUUUUAUCAGAUGUAGUGCUACCCUUCAAUUUACUUCUUAACUAAAUUGAAAACAUUGAAAGUUUGAAACUGUGAUUAUGUGAAAACCAUAUUUGAUGUGAAACGUGUAACACAAAUUAUGGGGCAAACCAUCUUCCCCCUCCCUUUUGCCCUGAAGAAAUUGACUUUAUCGAAGCUUCCAAAUCUGGAGAAUGUUUUGAAUGAAGAUCCUAAUGGAAUUCUAACCAUGCAACUUCUACAAAAAGCAUCCGUUGACAAUUGCAAAUGCCUUACAAGUGUGUUUCCUGCAUCAGUAGCCAAAGAUCUUGUAAAACUUGAAAAUCUAGUUGUGCAACACUGAGGGAUUGAUAUCAAUUGUUGCAGUGCAGACCCAAAAGAAACAAAUCUUGAGCAUACGUUCCCCUGUCUGAAGUCAUUGAUACUAUGUGAUCUGCCAAGGUUAAAGUAUUUUUUGCAGUGUGACAUGAUGAAGACCAUUGCUUUACAGCUUCAUCCUUGCUGCAGGAUCUGGACCUGUGCCUGCAAAAAAUUACUAAAUUGUUAAAUUGUUUUACAUUGUGACAAAAAGUAUGUUAAAUUGUUUUAUUUUUAUUUUUACAAGGUUAAAAAAAUUACUAAAUCUAGCUUUGAUUCAUGAGAA